rnacentral:rRNA from 1 species
AGGGGAAUAUUGGACAAUGGGCGAAAGCCUGAUCCAGCCAUGCCGCGUGUGUGAAGAAGGUCUUCGGAUUGUAAAGCACUUUAAGUUGGGAGGAAGGGCAGUAAGCGAAUACCUUGCUGUUUUGACGUUACCGACAGAAUAAGCACCGGCUAACUCUGUGCCAGCAGCCGCGGUAAUACAGAGGGUGCAAGCGUUAAUCGGAAUUACUGGGCGUAAAGCGCGCGUAGGUGGUUCGUUAAGUUGAAUGUGAAAGCCCCGGGCUCAACCUGGGAACUGCAUCGAAAACUGGCGAGCUAGAGUAGGGCAGAGGGUGGUGGAAUUUCCUGUGUAGCGGUGAAAUGCGUAGAUAUAGGAAGGAACACCAGUGGCGAAGGCGACCACCUGGGCUCAUACUGACACUGAGGUGCGAAAGCGUGGGGAGCAAACAGG